rnacentral:misc_RNA from 1 species
AAAUAGAUAAAUGUUGUAUGAGAACUAUGAUAGAAUAUAAGCUUGGAUAUUUAAAUGGAAAAUAUUUGUAUAGCAUGAAUAUAUCAGCUGAAGCAUAAACACAGUUGGCGUAAGAUUCAUGUUUCCGCUGCACCGUUCUCCCCUCCUCUUUGUCGUUCUUCUACAUGCCCCUUGCUUCUUUUUCCCCUUUACUGCCCUCACCCUCUGUGUUUCCACAUUAGUCAUCACUGCAACCCCUCCCG